ensembl:lncRNA LINC02997 long intergenic non-protein coding RNA 2997
GGGUAAAAGCUGACUUGGCAGAAGCUGUCUGAUACUGUGGGUCAUCCUGACCUUGAGACUGCGCAACGUGCCCUGGCAGAUUCAGAGUGUGUCCUGCUAGAACCCAUGUGCUGGACUCAUUUCCAAGUGUGCCUGCAGCAUGCAUUCAUUACUGCAUCUGAUGGAAGCACAAAGGGAGAGACAAAGAUGCAGAGAACAAUGCUCAGAAUGGCUGUAUUGCACACAAUCCUCUUCUGAGGCCCCAUUCCUGAAAGAAAGCAGGCCAUGCUGGUCUCAGUAUUUGCAUGGAAGGAUAUCUGCCAGUGAAUGAGUCUGUUGAAAUCACCACACCAAAUUCAACAUUAAGGGCCAACCCUGACCACAGCUGAGCCGUGUGAAGAGGCUGACAGCGGCGUGGCCACCACCCAGGAUGGAGAGAAAGGCACUGUGAGGUGUUAAUGGAAAAAUCCAACUUCCUUUUCUUCCAAAGAUGAUGACUGAAACCAAAGUGGAGCUUUCCCUUGUGAAGUGAAAGCAAAGUUUUAAAAUUUUUUCUCCUCUGCAAGAAAAUAUAUUUCAGAAAAUCUCUAUCUCAAAAAUGAAGCAAUUAAGAACUGUCUGGCUGUGAGGAUCUGGCCUCAACUUGACUUAAAGCAACAACUUCAGUUACAUAUCAAGAUGUGCGUGAGAAUGAACCUGCUCUGCUCAGCCAACGUGCUGAGUGACUUGAUGUUUGUAAUAAAUAAAUAAAUAAACAACAAACAGGUUGUCAUGAAA